CACGUAGGGUCCGAGCGUUGUCCGGAAUUACUGGGCGUAAAGCGUGCGCAGGCGGUUGGGUCAGUCGCUGGUGAAAGCCCCACGCUCAACGUGGGAAUGGCCAACGAGACGGCCCGACUGGAGGCAGGGAGAGGCCGGUGGAAUUCCGGGUGUAGUGGUGAAAUGCGUAGAGAUCCGGAGGAACACCAGUGGCGAAGGCGGCUCACUGGCCCGAUACUGACGCUGAGGUGCGAAAGCGUGGGGAGCAAACAGGG
rnacentral:rRNA from 1 species